UCCUCUUGACCUGGUGCAAACAUUACUAGACGAACUUCCAGUGGAAGAUCCAGAAAUUCAUUUCUACAUGGUGGUCCAUUCUGCAGACUCCAACUGUGUGAGAUGUCUAUGGGGGUUUGCACUGCCUCCUAAUCAACUGAGGAACUGUGGCCUUGAGAAUCUCCUUUUGUCCUGCUGAUCCUGGUACAAACUGACAGUAAAGUAUCCAGCACAUGGGCAACACAUACUCAUACUUUCUUUGGUAUCUUCAUUUCCAGAAUGCAGUUGAGUGAGAUGUUCUUUAGAAGACUUUUAUGUGGCCAUAAUCACCCCAG